rnacentral:siRNA from 1 species
CCGGGAAGUCCUCGUGUUGCAUC